UCUGAUAGUUGUCCCUUUUGAUCUACCUCUUAAAAAGGGGAAAGUAAAAUUUUAAAAAACGGUCAAACCAAGUAAUAAAGUUUUCCUUUCGGGAAUUGUGAAUGAUUAAACUUACUUGUAGCUUACUUAAAUCUGUUUUAUUUGCUGGAAUUAUUUUACGGUAACGUGAAUUCUUUGUGUGUUCCUCUGGAAUUUUGACAUCAUAUUAUCCAUUUAUUUAUUGCUGCCCUAUUAUGUUCUGCCUUGUCCAUGCUGAUAUUUUGCCACAGAAUUAAAUUUAGUUAGAAAAUCAAUUUUUAGGGGGUUCUCCAAAUGUUCUCUACAGUUCUCUAAAUGUCCCCUAAGUGUCUCCUAAGUUCUAUGGAUUUUCCUCAGUUUCUUCAUGUCCUUCUUAGCUGAUUGACCAAGCUAGGCUAUAAGUAACCUGGUGAAGAAAGCUGCUGUAUAUCAACACCUCAACCCUCAACUGAUAGCAUCCUCAACACCUCGCCGUCGAUUCCCAAUUGUGUCGAGAGGUAUAUGACCGAACGAGGAAUAAUACUGGCAAGUCCGUUCUAAUUUUAUUAUAGUUAUAUUUAUUGCUAUUUUCACAUUCUUAAAAGAAAAUUAAAUAAGGAAAAC